UGCGUAACAGCUCACUGGUCGAGCGACAGAGCAUCGAUAAUAAUCGGGCAUCAAGUGUAGUACCGAAGCUCAGGAUUGUAUAGCGAUAUACAGUGGUAGGGGAGCAUUCUAACAACGGCGAAGCUGACUGGUAAUGGUUGGUGGAGUGGUUAGAAAAGCAAAUGUAGGCAUAAGUAACGAUAAGGCAGGCGAGAAACCUGCCCACCGAUAGACUAAGGGUUCCGCGGCAAUGCUAAUCAUCCGCGGGUAAGUCGGGUCCUAAGCGGAAGCCGAGAGGCGUACGUGAUGGCCAAUGGGUUAAUAUUCCCAUACCACCGUGAUGAGCGAUGGGGUGACGGAGGAGUGAAAGUUGCGCGCACUGACGAAAUAGUGCGUUAAAAGGUGUAGGUAUAGGCUUUGUAGGAAAAUCCGCAGAGCUUGCUGAAACCCAAUAGUACCAGGAGGCUUCGGCCGAAUGGAUAGACAACGUAAGCAGACUUCCAAGAAAACCCCCUAAGCAUAUUGUCAUGGUGCCCGUACCGGAAACCGACACAGGUAGUCAAGGAGAGAAUCCUGAGGUGCUCGAGUGAAUCAUGGCUAAGGAACUCGGCAAAUUAACCCUGUAACUUCGGAAGAAGGGGUGCCUCCUCUAGCUUGCUAGAGAGGUCGCAGAGAAAUGGCCCAGGCGACUGUUUAACAAAAACACAUGGCUAUGCGAAAUCGCAAGAUGAAGUAUAUGGCCUGACACCUGCCCGGUGCUGGUAGGUAUGAUGUCUAUUAUAGAAUAAUUACUCCAGUAAACGGCAGCUGUAACUCUAACGGUUCUAAGGUAGCGAAGCUCCUCGUCACUUAAAUGGUGUCCUGCAUGAAUGGUGCCACGACACCCCCACUGUCUCUUCUUUGGACCAUGUGAAAUUAUACUGUCAGUGCAGAUACUGGCAAUCUUUAGCUGGACGGGAAGACCCUAUGAAGCUUUACUGAUACUCCAGCCUAAUACUAGCUGGGGAAGUCAGUUUUCCUGGGGAGGGAUCCUCCAAAAAAGUAACGGAGGACUACAAAGGCAUGUUUUAGAAAUUGCAAUGGAGUAAUCAUGCUUGACUUCGCCGACUUACUUGUCGGGAAGGGAUUUUUAAAAGUCGGUCAUAGUGAUCCGGUUAAUUAAUAACCGCUUAUGGAACAAAGCUACUCUAGGGAUAACAGGCUAGUCUCGGAUUAAAGUACUUAUUUUAUCCGAGGUUCGGCACCUCGAUGUCGACUCUUCCCAUCCUGGAACUGCAGAAGGUUCCAAGGGUGCAGCUGUUCUCUGCCUAAGGGGGAACGUGAGUUGGGUUUACUGCGCCGUGAGGCAGCAGGGAUCCUAUCCACUAAAGAAAUGUGAGUUAAAAACGAAAGGCUAUAGUACGAGAGGAUUUGGUCUGUUGUACCUAUGGUCACUCUUCGUGAGAAGACAGCUAAGUACAGGAAUCAU
rnacentral:rRNA from 1 species